CAGCCGCCACGGGAAUACGAAGGGUGCAAGCGUUACUCGGAAUUACUGGGCGUAAAGCGUGCGUAGGUGGUGGUUUAAGUCCGUUGUGAAAGCCCUGGGCUCAACCUGGGAAUUGCAGUGGAUACUGGGUCACUAGAGUGUGGUAGAGGAUAGUGGAAUUUCCGGUGUAGCAGUGAAAUACGUAGAGAUCGGAAGGAACAUCUGUGGCGAAGGCGACUAUCUGGGCCAACACUGACACUGAGGCACGAAAGCGUGGGGAGCAAACAGGAUUAGAUACCCCCGUAGUCCCUGUCUCUUAUAC
rnacentral:rRNA from 1 species